GAUGAAGAACGCAGCGAAAUGCGAUAAGUAAUGUGAAUUGCAGAAUUCAGUGAAUCAUCGAAUCUUUGAACGCACCUUGCGCUCCUUGGUAUUCCGAGGAGCAUGCCUGUUUGAGUGUCAUGAAAACCCUCAACCUUAGAUUGGUUAAAACCUUUCUUUGGCUUGGAUUUGGACGUUUGCCGAUGAUAAGUCGGCUCGUCUUAAAAGUAAUAGCUGGAUCUGUCUCGCGACAUGGUUUGACUUGGCGUAAUAAGUAUUUCGCUAAGGACAUCUUCGGAUGGCCGCGUUGCAAGACUAAAGACCGCUUUCUAAUUCAUUGAUCUUCGGAUUAAUAUUCUUGACAUCUGGCCUCAAAUCAGGUAGGACUACCCGCUGAACUUAAGCAUAUCAAUAAGCGGAGGA
rnacentral:misc_RNA from 1 species